UGUCAAAUUUUUUCAAAGCCCCAAGGCCAACCCUGGCCUUUUCUACACUGAGGCCCAUUUUGUUUGACCCACCUUUGAGGGGGCUUUUUCCAGAGCCCCUAGCCCCCAAAACCCCAGAAAAUGGGUUGGGAUUAAAUUAGGGCCGGGUUAGCCCCUAGUCCCAAAACCCCAUUUUUCUCUGUUGACCCUGGACAUCCUGUUUUCUUGACAAACGUUUACCUUUAAGAGCUCCACAACAAUCUACUGAGACGACAGCGCAUAGCAGUACAGGCGGCGGCAACACAGCACUUGACGGCAACGCACGGUGGUAUAGGCGGCGACGAUAUCAACGAUCGAGUGGUUGAAAGAAGAAUCGUGAACGAGAGCUUUGAAAUUAAGGAAGCACUACCGGUUGCAAGUUAUGAAGGCAUGUACUAUAAUUACUUCAGCAUAGGUAUUGCACUUUUGAUUGAUACUCCACGGGAUAAAAACAUAACGGGAUUUGGAUCUAUUUAAUAUACUUAUGUUGUGUUGAUAAAGCUUGCGGAGAAAAAACAUCUCUGGAUGUCAAUGAGCAAUGACUCUGGUGUUGUCUUGUACUGAAUCUGACAAAUGGAACAUUGUUUAUUUUUAUCUUAGU